GACGAACGCUGGCGGCGUGCUUAACACAUGCAAGUCGAACGGAAAGGCCUCUUUCGGGGGGUACUCGAGUGGCGAACGGGUGAGUAACACGUGAGUAACCUGCCCUUGACUUUGGGAUAACUUCAGGAAACUGGGGCUAAUACCGGAUAGGAGCUCCUGCUGCAUGGUGGGGGUUGGAAAGUUUCGGCGGUUGGGAUGGACUCGCGGCUUAUCAGCUUGUUGGUGGGGUAGUGGCUUACCAAGGCUUUGACGGGUAGCCGGCCUGAGAGGGUGACCGGCCACAUUGGGACUGAGAUACGGCCCAGACUCCUACGGGAGGCAGCAGUGGGGAAUAUUGCACAAUGGGUGGAAGCCUGAUGCAGCAACGCCGUGUGCGGGAGGACGGCCUUCGGGUUGUAAACCGCUUUCGCUCAUGACGAAGCUUUGUGUGACGGUAGUGGGUAAAGAAGCACCGGCUAACUACGUG
rnacentral:rRNA from 1 species